AGCUCCAAUAGCGUAUACUAAAGUUGUUGCGUUUAAAAAGCUCGUAGUUGGAUCUCAGGCAUGGGCGCACGGUCCGCCUCGCGGCGGUCACUGUGUGUUUGUUUUCCCAUCCUACGCUUCCCGGUUGUUAGCCCAUGGUGCUCUUAAUUGAGCGUUUUGGGUGGCCGGAACGUUUACUUUGAAGAAAUUAGAGUGUUCAAAGCAGGCUUUGUGCCUGAAUAAUGGUGCAUGGAAUAAUGGAAUAGGACCUCGGUUCUAUUUUGCUGGUUUUCGGAACACGAGGUAAUGAUUAAGAGGGACAGACGGGGGCAUCCGUAUUGCGGUGUUAGAGGUGAAAUUCUUGGAUCAUCGCAAGACGAACUACUGCGAAAGCAUUUGCCAAGAAUGUUUUCA
rnacentral:rRNA from 1 species